AGGGGUGAGCAAACCGUGCUGGAGAAGCAGGGCACGUGCUCGACGGCGGGGCUGGCUGGCCGGCCGGCUUGCAGCAUGUGCGCUCCUUCUCCAGCAUGGCUUCUCGCCCCGUCGAUCGCC
rnacentral:misc_RNA from 1 species